rnacentral:rRNA from 1 species
UACAUAGGUGACUAACGUUGUCCGGAAUUAUUGGGCGUAAAGGGCGCGUAGGUGGUCGAGUAAGUCAGGUGUGAAAGCUCUGGGCUUAACCCAGGAAUUGCGUCUGAUACUGCUCGGCUUGAGUACGGUAGAGGAGGGUGGAAUUCCCAGUGUAGCGGUGAAAUGCGUAGAUAUUGGGAGGAACACCGGUGGCGAAGGCGGCCCUCUGGACCAUAACUGACGCUGAGAUACGAAAGCGUGGGUAGCAAACAGG